CAGUUGCAUGGAGAGCUGUGUAAGACCUACUACAAGGUUAAGUAUGAGCUCGACAAGAAAAGUGGCCUUAUAGUACAACGCGCGGGCACAAUUUAUAGUACCUUCUAUUAUCAAAUUUGGCGAGAAAUUUUGGGCCACGCACUGCAACAACAAGGUGCACAAUGAUAAAUAUGAGAACGGGAAAGAGAUGAGCGACAAAGAUGUGAGUGAGAGAUGAGAAAGACCAAUUGAAAGCCACCUACCUUUCGAAGGAAAGAGAGCGUAAAUUCGAGUCCAUGAGUGAAGGACGACAUAGCGAGAGAGACGAGGCGGCAAGAGGGAUGUGAAAAACCAGAUAGAGAGAGAAGCGUGAUAGAUUGAGAGAGAAGCAGCGUGAAAGUUAAAGAGAGUUAUCGCAAUUUAUUUCGUUAAUUAAUUAGGCUUAGGAAUUUAAAAAGCCCUAACCGUAAAAAAUUUAGUAUUCAAAUGUAAGUUUUAAGAAGGUAGGAAAAAUCCCACCAAAUCCUACACAACGAAGCCAAGUUCUCGGCUAGGAACUUCACUACCGACAAAAUAUUUUGUAGGCAAUAACACUAUGUCGUCUGGAAGAGUUUGCCUCAAAAUCUUAACCAUGGUACGCACGUUUAGCUGACAAAGCAAAAAAUUUGUCGGGUGAAAGUUGUUGUGCCGACACACUCUUACUUAGUCGGCUUGGAAAUUAUCGGUAAAAUAAUAUUUUCUAGUAGUAGCUAGUUCUUCAA